rnacentral:rRNA from 1 species
AUUGAACGCUGGCGGCAGGCCUAACACAUGCAAGUCGAACGGUAACAGGAAGCAGCUUGCUGCUUCGCUGACGAGUGGCGGACGGGUGAGUCAUGUCUGGGAAACUGCCUGAUGGAGGGGGAUAACUACUGGAAACGGUAGCUAAUACCGCAUAACGUCGCAAGACCAAAGAGGGGGACCUUAGGGCCUCUUGCCAUCGGAUGUGCCCAGAUGGGAUUAGCUAGUAGGUGGGGUAACGGCUCACCUAGGCGACGAUCCCUAGCUGGUCUGAGAGGAUGACCAGCCACACUGGAACUGAGACACGGUCCAGACUCCUACGGGAGGCAGCAGUGGGGAAUAUUGCACAAUGGGCGCAAGCCUGAUGCAGCAAUGCCGCGUGUAUGAAGAAGGCCUUCGGGUUGUAAAGUACUUUCAGCGGGGAGGAAGGGAGUAAAGUUAAUACCUUUGCUCAUUGACGUUACCCGCAGAAGAAGCACCGGCUAACUCCGUG